rnacentral:rRNA from 1 species
AACAAACGCUGGCGGCGUGCCUAACACAUGCAAGUCGAACGUGAUUGAGAGCUUGCUCUCAUGAAAGUGGCGCACGGGUGAGUAACGCGUAGAUAAUCUACCUGAUGGAUCGGGAUAACACUUCGAAAGGGGUGCUAAUACCGGAUAAGCCCACGGAGUCCUUGGACACUGCGGGAAAAGGGGGGACCUUUUAGGCCUUCCGUCAUCAGAUGAGUCUGCGUACCAUUAGCUAGUUGGUAGGGUAAAGGCCUACCAAGGCGACGAUGGUUAGCUGGUCUGAGAGGAUGAUCAGCCACACUGGAACUGAGACACGGUCCAGACUCCUACGGGAGGCUG